rnacentral:rRNA from 1 species
AGUGGACGCUGGCGGUAGGCCUAACACAUGCAAGUCGAACGGCAGCACAGUAAGAGCUUGCUCUUACGGGUGGCGAGUGGCGGACGGGUGAGGAAUACAUCGGAAUCUACUUUUUCGUGGGGGAUAACGUAGGGAAACUUACGCUAAUACCGCAUACGACCUACGGGUGAAAGCAGGGGAUCUUCGGACCUUGCGCGAUUGAAUGAGCCGAUGUCGGAUUAGCUAGUUGGCGGGGUAAAGGCCCACCAAGGCGCCGAUCCGUAGCUGGUCUGAGAGGAGGGUCAGCCGCACUGGAACUGAGACACGGUCCAGACUCCUACGGGAGGCAGCAGUGGGGAAUAUUGGACAAUGGGCGCAAGCCUGAUCCAGCCAUACCGCGUGGGUGACGAAGGCCUUCGGGUUGUAAAGCCCUUUUGUUGGGAGAGAAAAGCAGCAGGUUAAUACCCCGCUGUUCUGACGGUACCCAAAGAAUAAGCACCGGCUAACUUCGUG